rnacentral:rRNA from 1 species
GACGAAGGAUGCAAGCGUUAUCCGGAUUCAUUGGGUUUAAAGGGAGCGUAGGCGGAUUGGUAAGUCAGUGGUGAAAUCUGUGGGCUUAACCCACAAACUGCCAUUGAUACUGCUGAUCUAGAGUACAGUUGCCGUUGGCGGAAUAUGUCAUGUAGCGGUGAAAUGCUUAGAUAUGACAUAGAACACCGAUUGCGAAGGCAGCUUACUACACGAUCAUUUGACGCUGAGCACGAAAAGCGUGGGGGG